UUUGAAACGCGAGCAAAUGGGAAAGUUCAGCACCCGGAAAGAUCGCGAAGUCAGAAUGAAGCAUCAAGGAGUGCAUCAAGCAGUGAGAAUGAAGCAGGUCGACCGUUGAGUAGACCCCUGACGUCACUCGAAACUCGUGGAAUAUUCUGUGGGUGAAACGGGCUCCGACCCGAGCCAUCUUGGCCGCCCAACUCAUUGUGACGUCAUCAGUGGAAGCUGGUCGUGUUAAAAGAGAGUUGGGUUUUUUUAAACUUUAAUCAGCAAUAAGUUGUGAAUUAAAGCAUAAAAUCUUAA